GCUUGUCUCAAAGAUUAAGCCAUGCAUGUCUAAGUAUAAGCAUUAUACAGUGAAACUGCGAAUGGCUCAUUAUAUCAGUUAUAGUUUAUUUGAUAGUCCCUACUAUUUGGAUAACCGUAGUAAUUCUAGAGCUAAUACAUGCGUCAAGCCUCGACUCACGGAGAGGUGUAUUUAUUAGAUACAACCAGCCCUUCGGGGCUCCUUGGUGAUUCAUGAUAACUAUACGAAUCGCACGGCCUUGCGCCGGCGAUGGUUCAUUCAAAUUUCUUCCCUAUCAACUUUCGAUGUUUGGGUAUUGGCCAAACAUGGUUGCAACGGGUAACGGAGGGUUAGGGCUCGACCCCGGAGAAGGAGCCUGAGAAACGGCUACUACAUCCAAGGAAGGCAGCAGG
rnacentral:rRNA from 1 species